rnacentral:rRNA from 1 species
UACGUAGGGGGCAAGCGUUGUUCGGAAUUACUGGGCGUAAAGGGCGCGUAGGCGGCAUGGCAAGUCGGGAGUGAAAGCCCGGGGCUCAACCCCGGAACGGCUUUCGAAACUGCCAAGCUAGAGUACGGAAGGGGCAACUGGAAUUCCAAGUGUAGCGGUGAAAUGCGUAGAUAUUUGGAAGAACACCGGAGGCGAAGGCGGGUUGCUGGGCCGAUACUGACGCUGAGGCGCGAAAGCCAGGGGAGCAAACGGG